AACCGUAGAGGAAGAGGUAAGCCGAACCGGUACGAAAAGUAACAAAGGGUAAGAGUUUUGUUCAUCCUUUUUUCGAAUUUUGUUUUGUAGAUCUAUGUAAAUCCGUGUUUUGUUUUGAAAAUUUGUUUUAAGAAUUGAAACCAGCAUGCAAAAGGAUGUUCAAAACUACAAGAAAUUUUUGAAUCGGAGUAAGUUUGAACUCCGGCGCGGUGGUGCCACCACCGGCCACCGCGCCGGAAAACACUAUCUCGCCGGAGAAGAUGAUAUAAGGGGGCGUUUGUUUUUGAGUAGAGAGAGAAGUGAGGGUUUUGAUUUUAGAGAGUAGAGAGAGAAGAGAGGAACCGGUUUGAUAGAGAGAGAAGGUCAUGAGCAAAAUGACUUAAAAAUGGAAAUAUACUCUUUUAUAUGCUCUCUGUUGGAUCAGUUCGGUUGAACCGAACCGGUUUCCGAACCGAUCCAACUCUUCCUCCCUAAACCGGUUUACUGAUCCGUAUCCAACCCCAAUAUAUCCUAAUUUGACCCGUAUGUCUAUUUGCUGAACUGAUUUUCUUACUAGCUGUUAUAUCCCUGUUCAUGCUACUGCACCCCUCCCUGUAUAUAUUUUAGUAACUCUUUUAAAACUCAUGCAUCUUAUUGUUAACUAUAUUUCAUGCAUUUUUAAUGCUUUAAUUGUCGUAUUAUUCUUUUUUUUUUUUUAGUUUUGUUGAGUGAUUUAAAAUUUUUAUUUUGUGCAUUUUCUUAUUCGGUAGUUUAUUUUUAGUAUGUGGUGUUAUCUUAUGUUUUUUUUGCAUCAUUACUAAUAUUAUCUCAUGCAUCCUUUAAUUCUUGUCAAUUAUUUUAUUAUCAUUAAAUUGCUUAGUGUGUAUAAUAGGGAUUGAAUGUAACACAUGCAUUUCAUUUUCCGCAUUUUGUUAUAGUACGUCAUUG
rnacentral:lncRNA from 1 species